CCCCCUCCUCCAGCCUCCGUUCCCCCAUCGCGAAUCCUCCCACAACCUACGCAACCAUGGUGGGGUCGACGGCCGCGUCGCCGCCAUCUCCGCAUCGGAACGGCCCUACGGAAAUCCUCGAUGGAGAUGUUGUCCCUCCACCGCCUCCCUUAUGCAUUGAAGCUACCGUUUCUCCAUCAGUUCCCUCGUCAGCGUCAACUUUAGCAAAGGCUACUGCAACCAAGAACAAAGGGCAUGCGUCAAUUGAAGAAGUUGCUGCAGCUACAACACUUUGCUCCCUUUAUCCAGUGACCCAAGACCCUGACCAAGGAUGUGGAGUCCCACGAGAAAAACAAAGACUCCCAAAACCCCCACGAAAGAAGAUGCCGAGGUCGCCGUUAGUGGUGCCCGUAGUGGGAUCCCCAGGGGUAAAUGUCAUGUUAUCUCAGGCAUCACCAAGGUUCGGUGUGAUACGAUCGUCGCCAACACCGCCUUAGAUUCCUCGUCUUUCACGUAGAAACAAAAAACGGAAACUUAAAUCUGAAAUCUGGAAUGAUUUUGAUCCUGUGUAUGAUGGCAACAAACUCAAGGAAGCCAAUUGUAAACAUUGCAAGAGAAUUUUUGUGGUUGCAAAAAAAGCUGGUACUAGUGAA